rnacentral:misc_RNA from 1 species
UCUCCGUUGGUGAACCAGCGGAGGGAUCAUUACAGAGUUUUCUAACUCCCAAACCCUUUGUGAACUUACUAUUUUGUUGCCUCGGCGGGCCUCUGAGAUUCGUCUCACGUCCGCCGGCGGCCCACAACUCAUUGUCUGACUCUAAGCAUCUCCGAGCCAUACACAAACGAAUCAAAACUUUCAACAACGGAUCUCUUGGUUCUGGCAUCGAUGAAGAACGCAGC